CCCUUAGAUGUUCUGGGCUGCACGCGCGCUACACUGAUGCGUUCAACGAGUGUAUAACCUUGCCCGAUAGGGUUGGGUAAUCUUUUGAACACGCAUCGUGAUGGGGAUAGAUUAUUGCAAUUAUUAAUCUUCAACGAGGAAUGCCUAGUAAGCGCGAAUCAUCAGUUCGCGUUGAUUACGUCCCUGCCCUUUGUACACACCGCCCGUCGCACCUACCGAUUGAAUGGUCCGGUGAAAUCCUCGGAUCGAGCCGUGGGGCAACUCCGGUUCGAGAAGUUGAUUAAACCUUACCAUUUAGAGGAAGGUGAAGUCGUAACA
rnacentral:rRNA from 1 species